GCCGGCAUCGCUCAACUGGCAGAGCACCGCUCUCGUACGGCGUUGGGUGUUCGAGUCACCCUGCCGGCU
rnacentral:tRNA from 1 species